rnacentral:rRNA from 1 species
AUUAUUGAAAUGAAAUGUUAUUCGUUUAUAAAGAUGUCUAGUUUUUUUAGAAAUAAAUUUAAUUUAAAAGCUUUUAAUUUUUUUAAUUUAUUAUAUAAAUUAAUAAAUUUAUAAAUUUAAAUAUUUUAAGGGAUAAGCUUUAGAAUAAAUUUUUAUAAAUUAAUAAAUGAUAAUUAAAAUUAUAUGCAUAGAAUUAGUAAUUAUUAUUUAAAAUUUUGUUAUAGAUUAUUUUAUAAAAUAUAUUAUUUAUUAUAAUUUUAAAUUUUUAUAAAAAUAUUUUUUUUAAUUUUAUUUAAUAAUGAUAAAAUUAGUAUAUAUAUGGUAUGUAGAUAUAAUUUAUUUUGAUAAGUUUAUAUAAAGAACUCGGCAAAUAUUUUACUCGCCUGUUUAACAAAAACAUGUCUUUUUGUGUUAUUUUUAAAGUCUAACCUGCCCAAUGAAUAAAUUUUAAUGGCCGCAGUAUUUUGACUGUGCAAAGGUAGCAUAAUCAUUAGUCUUUUAAUUGAAGGCUUGAAUGAAUGGUUGGACGAAGUAUAAUCUGUUUCAUUUAAAUUUAUAAUAGAAUUUUAUAUUUUAGUAAAAAAGCUAGAAUAUUUUUAAAAGACGAGAAGACCCUAUAAAUCUUUAUAAUUUGUAUUAUUUUUAUUUUUUAUAUUUAUUUUAUUUAAAUAAUUUAAAUUAUUUUGUUGGGGUGAUAUUAAAAUUUAAUAAACUUUUAAUUUAAUUAUUUCAUAAAUUUAUGUAUUAUUGAUCCAUUAAUAAUGAUUAAAAGAAUAAGUUACUUUAGGGAUAACAGCGUAAUUUUUUUGGAGAGUUCUUAUUGAUAAAAAAGUUUGCGACCUCGAUGUUGGAUUAAGAUAUAAUUUUAGGUGUA